rnacentral:rRNA from 1 species
CCCUUAGAUGUCCUGGGCUGCACGCGCGCUACACUGGAAGUUACGGAUUGAGAUACUACCUUGUCCGAAAUGGUCUGGGUAAUCACCUAAAAGCUUGUCAUAAUUGGAAUGGAUUAUUGUAACUAGUAAUCCUGAACGAGGAAUUCCUAGUAAGUCCCAGUCAACAGCUGGUACUGAUUACGUCCCUGCCCUUUGUACACACCGCCCGUCGCUACUACUGAUUGGACGUUUAAGCAAGAUUUUUAAACACUGACAGUGUGUAGUUCACGCUAUACUACAGUGAGAAGAAGAAGAUCGAGCUUACUUGUCUAGAGGAAGUAAAAGUCGUAACA